GACGGGUGAGUAACGCGUGAGUAACCUGCCCUUCAGAGGGGGAUAGCGUUUGGAAACGAACGGUAAUACCGCAUAAUGUAUUUUGACCGCAUGAUCGAAAUACCAAAGAUUUAUCGCUGAAGGAUGGACUCGCGUCUGAUUAGGUAGUUGGUGGGGUAACGGCCUACCAAGCCGACGAUCAGUAGCCGGACUGAGAGGUUGAUCGGCCACAUUGGGACUGAGACACGGCCCAGACUCCUACGGGAGGCAGCAGUGGGGGAUAUUGCACAAUGGGCGCAAGCCUGAUGCAGCAACGCCGCGUGAAGGAAGACGGUUUUCGGAUUGUAAACUUCUGUUCUUAGUGAAGAAUAAUGACGGUAGCUAAGGAGCAAGCCACGGCUAACUACGUGCCAGCAGCCGCGGUAAUACGUAGGUGGCAAGCGUUGUCCGGAAUUACUGGGUGUAAAGGGAGCGCAGGCGGGUGAUCAAGUCCGCUGUGAAAACUACGGGCUUAACCCGUAGACUGCAGUUGAAACUGUUCAUCUUGAGUGAAGUAGAGGUUGGCGGAAUUCCGAGUGUAGCGGUGAAAUGCGUAGAUAUUCGGAGGAACACCGGUGGCGAAGGCGGCCAACUGGGCUUUAACUGACGCUGAGGCUCGAAAGUGUGGGGAGCAAACAGGAUUAGAUACCCUGGUAGUCCACACUGUAAACGAUGAUUGCUAGGUGUGGGGGGUCUGACCCCUUCCGUGCCGGAGCUAACGCAAUAAGCAAUCCACCUGGGGAGUACGACCGAAGGUUGAAACUCAAAGGAAUUGACGGGGACCCGCACAAGCAGUGGAUUAUGUGGUUUAAUUCGAAGCAACGCGAAGAACCUUACCAGCACUUGACAUCCAACUAACGAAAUAGAGAUAUAUUAGGUGCCCUUCGGGGAAAGUUGAGACAGGUGGUGCAUGGUUGUCGUCAGCUCGUGUCGUGAGAUGUUGGGUUAAGUCCCGCAACGAGCGCAACCCUCGCCAUUAGUUGCUACGCAAGAGCACUCUAAUGGGACCGCUACCGACAAGGUGGAGGAAGGUGGGGACGACGUCAAAUCAUCAUGCCCCUUAUGUGCUGGGCUACACACGUAAUACAAUGGCCAUCAACAGAGAGAAGCAAUACCGCGAGGUGGAGCAAAACUUCAAAAAUGGUCUCAGUUCGGACUGCAGGCUGCAACCCGCCUGCACGAAGUUGGAAUUGCUAGUAAUCGUGGAUCAGCAUGCCACGGUGAGUACGUUCCCGGGUCUUGUACACACCGCCCGUCACACCAUGGGAGCCGGUAACACCCGAAGUCAGUAGUCUAACCGCAAGGAGGACGCUGCCGAAGGUGGGAUUGGCGACUGGGGUGAAGUCGUAACAAGGUAGCCGUAUCGGGAGGUGCGGCUG
rnacentral:rRNA from 1 species